GCCAUCGUGGUGUGUUCUUGCCUCCACUUCUCGCCAUGUCUUCUUACAAGACUUUCAGGAUUAAGCGAUUCCUGGCCAAGAAACAAAAGCAAAAUCAUCCCAUUCCCCAGUGGAUUCGGAUGAAAACUGGAAAUAAAAUAAGGUACAACUCCAAAAGGAGACAUUGGAGAAGAACCAAGCUGGGUCUAUAAGGAAUUGCACAUGAGAUGGCACAUAUAUUUGUGCUGUCUGAAGGUCACGAUCACAUUACCAUAUCAAACUGAAAAUGUCACCACUCUCUGGAG